UACGUAGGGGGCACGCGUUGUCCGGAAUUAUUGGGCGUACGGAGCGUGUAGGCGGUGCGGUAAGUCGGCUGUGAAAGUCCAGGGCUCAACCCUGGGAUGCCGGUCGAUACUGCCGGACUAGAGUUCGGAAGAGGCGAGUGGAAUUCCCGGUGUAGCGGUGAAAUGCGCAGAUAUGACAUAGAACACCAAUUGCGAAGGCAGCUCACUACGGGAUUAUUGACACUGAGGCACGAAAGCGUGGGGAUCAAACAGG
rnacentral:rRNA from 1 species